AAGUCGGGCUAAUACCGCAUGUGAUCCUUCGGGAUUAAAGCCUUCGGGGCGCUAAAGGAGGGGCCUGCGUCUGAUUAGCUUGUUGGUAAGGUAAUGGCUUACCAAGGCGAUGAUCAGUAGCUGGUUCGAGAGGAUGAUCAGCCACACUGGAACUGAGAUACGGUCCAGACUCCUACGGGAGGCAGCAGUAAGGAAUCUUCCGCAAUGGACGAAAGUCUGACGGAGCAACGCCGCGUGCAGGAUGAAGGCUUUCGGGUCGUAAACUGCUUUUGUAUGGGAAGAUUAUGACGGUACCAUACGAAUAAGGACCGGCUAACUACGUG
rnacentral:rRNA from 1 species